rnacentral:rRNA from 1 species
GGGUUGUGAGGUUAAGCGACUAAGCGUACACGGUGGAUGCCCUGGCAGUCAGAGGCGAUGAAGGACGUGCUAAUCUGCGAAAAGCGUCGGUAAGGUGAUAUGAACCGUUAUAACCGGCGAUGUCCGAAUGGGGAAACCCAGUGCAAUUCGUUGCACUAUCGUUAACUGAAUACAUAGGUUAACGAGGCGAACCGGGGGAACUGAAACAUCUAAGUACCCCGAGGAAAAGAAAUCAACCGAGAUUCCCCCAGUAGCGGCGAGCGAACGGGGAGCAGCCCAGAGUCUGAAUCAGCUUGUGUGUUAGUGGAACGGUCUGGAAAGUCCGACGGUACAGGGUGAUAGUCCCGUACACCAAAAUGCACAGGUUGUGAACUCGAAGAGUAGGGCGGGACACGUGGUAUCCUGUCUGAAUAUGGGGGGACCAUCCUCCAAGGCUAAAUACUCCUGACUGACCGAUAGUGAACCAGUACCGUGAGGGAAAGGCGAAAAGAACCCCGGCGAGGGGAGUGAAAAAGAACCUGAAACCGUGUACGUACAAGCAGUGGGAGCACCUUUAUGGUGUGACUGCGUACCUUUUGUAUAAUGGGUCAGCGACUUAUAUUCUGUAGCAAGGUUAACCGUAUAGGGGAGCCGCAGGGAAACCGAGUCUUAACUGGGCGUUAAGUUGCAGGGUAUAGACCCGAAACCCGGUGAUCUAGCCAUGGGCAGGUUGAAGGUUGGGUAACACUAACUGGAGGACCGAACCGACUAAUGUUGAAAAAUUAGCGGAUGACUUGUGGCUGGGGGUGAAAGGCCAAUCAAACCGGGAGAUAGCUGGUUCUCCCCGAAAGCUAUUUAGGUAGCGCCUCGUGAACUCAUCUUCGGGGGUAGAGCACUGUUUCGGCUAGGGGGUCAUCCCGACUUACCAACCCGAUGCAAACUACGAAUACCGAAGAAUGUUAUCACGGGAGACACACGGCGGGUGCUAACGUCCGUCGUGAAGAGGGAAACAACCCAGACCGCCAGCUAAGGUCCCAAAGUCAUGGUUAAGUGGGAAACGAUGUGGGAAGGCACAGACAGCCAGGAUGUUGGCUUAGAAGCAGCCAUCAUUUAAAGAAAGCGUAAUAGCUCACUGGUCGAGUCGGCCUGCGCGGAAGAUGUAACGGGGCUAAACCAUGCACCGAAGCUGCGGCAGCGACACGAUGUGUUGUUGGGUAGGGGAGCGUUCUGUAAGCCUGCGAAGGUGACCUGUGAGGGUUGCUGGAGGUAUCAGAAGUGCGAAUGCUGACAUAAGUAACGAUAAAGCGGGUGAAAAGCCCGCUCGCCGGAAGACCAAGGGUUCCUGUCCAACGUUAAUCGGGGCAGGGUGAGUCGACCCCUAAGGCGAGGCCGAAAGGCGUAGUCGAUGGGAAACAGGUUAAUAUUCCUGUACUUGGUGUUACUGCGAAGGGGGGACGGAGAAGGCUAUGUUAGCCGGGCGACGGUUGUCCCGGUUUAAGCAUGUAGGCUGGUUAUCCAGGCAAAUCCGGAUAAUCAAGGCUGAGGUGUGAUGACGAGGCACUACGGUGCUGAAGUAACAAAUGCCCUGCUUCCAGGAAAAGCCUCUAAGCAUCAGGUAACAUCAAAUCGUACCCCAAACCGACACAGGUGGUCAGGUAGAGAAUACCAAGGCGCUUGAGAGAACUCGGGUGAAGGAACUAGGCAAAAUGGUGCCGUAACUUCGGGAGAAGGCACGCUGGUGUGUAGGUGAAGUCCCUGCGGAUGGAGCUGAGACCAGUCGAAGAUACCAGCUGGCUGCAACUGUUUAUUAAAAACACAGCACUGUGCAAACACGAAAGUGGACGUAUACGGUGUGACGCCUGCCCGGUGCCGGAAGGUUAAUUGAUGGGGUUAUCCGUAAGGAGAAGCUCUUGAUCGAAGCCCCGGUAAACGGCGGCCGUAACUAUAACGGUCCUAAGGUAGCGAAAUUCCUUGUCGGGUAAGUUCCGACCUGCACGAAUGGCGUAAUGAUGGCCAGGCUGUCUCCACCCGAGACUCAGUGAAAUUGAACUCGCUGUGAAGAUGCAGUGUACCCGCGGCAAGACGGAAAGACCCCGUGAACCUUUACUAUAGCUUGACACUGAACAUUGAGCCUUGAUGUGUAGGAUAGGUGGGAGGCUUUGAAGCGUGGACGCCAGUCUGCGUGGAGCCAACCUUGAAAUACCACCCUUUAAUGUUUGAUGUUCUAACGUGGGCCCCUGACCGGGGUUGCGGACAGUGUCUGGUGGGUAGUUUGACUGGGGCGGUCUCCUCCCAAAGCGUAACGGAGGAGCACGAAGGUUAGCUAAUCCUGGUCGGACAUCAGGAGGUUAGUGCAAUGGCAUAAGCUAGCUUGACUGCGAGCGUGACGGCGCGAGCAGGUGCGAAAGCAGGUCAUAGUGAUCCGGUGGUUCUGAAUGGAAGGGCCAUCGCUCAACGGAUAAAAGGUACUCCGGGGAUAACAGGCUGAUACCGCCCAAGAGUUCAUAUCGACGGCGGUGUUUGGCACCUCGAUGUCGGCUCAUCACAUCCUGGGGCUGAAGUAGGUCCCAAGGGUAUGGCUGUUCGCCAUUUAAAGUGGUACGCGAGCUGGGUUUAGAACGUCGUGAGACAGUUCGGUCCCUAUCUGCCGUGGGCGCUGGAGAAUUGAGGGGGGCUGCUCCUAGUACGAGAGGACCGGAGUGGACGCAUCACUGGUGUUCGGGUUGUCAUGCCAAUGGCACUGCCCGGUAGCUAAAUGCGGAAGAGAUAAGUGCUGAAAGCAUCUAAGCACGAAACUUGCCCCGAGAUGAGUUCUCCCUGAGACUAUAAGUCUCCUGAAGGAACGUUGAAGACGACGACGUUGAUAGGCCGGGUGUGUAAGCGCAGCGAUGCGUUGAGCUAACCGGUACUAAUGAACCGUGAGGCUUAACCUUACAACGCCGAAG